rnacentral:rRNA from 1 species
UACAGAGGGUGCAAGCGUUAAUCGGAAUUACUGGGCGUAAAGCGCGCGUAGGUGGUUUGUUAAGUUGGAUGUGAAAGCCCCGGGCUCAACCUGGGAAUGGCAUUUGAUACUCUGAGGCUGGAGUACGGGAGAGGAGAGUGGAAUUCCCAGUGUAGAGGUGAAAUUCGUAGAUAUUGGGAAGAACACCGGUGGCGAAGGCGGCUCUCUGGACCGUAACUGACGCUGAGGCGCGAAAGCGUGGGGAGCAAACAGG